rnacentral:rRNA from 1 species
CCUACGGGAGGCAGCAGUGGGGAAUCUUGCGCAAUGGGCGAAAGCCUGACGCAGCCAUGCCGCGUGAAUGAUGAAGGUCUUAGGAUUGUAAAAUUCUUUCACCGGGGACGAUAAUGACGGUACCCGGAGAAGAAGCCCCGGCUAACUUCGUGCCAGCAGCCGCGGUAAUACGAAGGGGGCUAGCGUUGCUCGGAAUUACUGGGCGUAAAGGGAGCGUAGGCGGAUAGUUUAGUCAGAGGUGAAAGCCCAGGGCUCAACCUUGGAAUUGCCUUUGAUACUGGCUAUCUUGAGUGUGGGAGAGGUAUGUGGAACUCCGAGUGUAGAGGUGAAAUUCGUAGAUAUUCGGAAGAACACCAGUGGCGAAGGCGACAUACUGGCCCAUUACUGACGCUGAGGCUCGAAAGCGUGGGGAGCAAACAGGAUUAGAUACCCUGGUAGUCCACGCUGUAAACGAUGAGUGCUAGUUGUCGGCAGGCAUGCCUGUCGGUGACGCAGCUAACGCAUUAAGCACUCCGCCUGGGGAGUACGGUCGCAAGAUUAAAAACUCAAAAGGAAUUGACGG